UGCCAGCCGCCGCGGUAAUACGAGGGGUGCUAGCGUUGUCCGGAAUCAUUGGGCGUAAAGGGUCCGUAGGCGAUCUAACAAGUCAAUUGUUAAAUACAUCGGCUUAACCGAUGAAAUGCAGUUGAAACUGUUAGAAUAGAGUUUAGGAGAGGAAAGUGGAAUUUCUGGUGUAGCGGUGACAUGCGUAAAUAUCAGAAGGAACACCAAUGGCGAAGGCAACUUUCUGGCCUAAAACUGACGCUGAGGGACGAAAGCGUGGGGAGCGAAGAGGAUUAGAUA
rnacentral:rRNA from 1 species